rnacentral:rRNA from 1 species
GCCGGUGAUUAUAGAGAUGAGGAUACACCUGUUCCCUUCCCGAACACAGAAGUUAAGCUCACUUUCGCCAAUGGUACUGUCAGGGCGACUUGAUGGGAGAGUAGGUCGUUGCCGGCA